GACGAACGCUGGCGGCGUGCUUAACACAUGCAAGUCGAACGGAAAGGCCCUGCUUUUGUGGGGUGCUCGAGUGGCGAACGGGUGAGUAACACGUGAGUAACCUGCCCUUGACUUUGGGAUAACUUCAGGAAACUGGGGCUCAUACCGGAUAGGAGCUCCUGCUGCAUGGUGGGGGUUGGAAAGUUUCGGCGGUUGGGGAUGGACUCGCGGCUUAUCAGCUUGUUGGUGGGGUAGUGGCUUACCAAGGCUUUGACGGGUAGCCGGCCUGAGCGGGGGACCGGCCACAUUGGGACUGAGAUACGGCCCAGACUCCUACGGGAGGCAGCAGUGGGGAAUAUUGCACAAUGGGCGGAAGCCUGAUGCAGCAACGCCGCGUGCGGGAUGACGGCCUUCGGGUUGUAAACCGCUUUCGCCUGUGACGAAGCGUGAGUGACGGUAAUGGGUAAAGAAGCACCGGCUAACUACGUG
rnacentral:rRNA from 1 species